AAUAACACUGCGAUGAAACUCAGUAAGAUGUCUGUAAUUAUUUUUUAUAAAGAUAAGCGUCACUGUGUGUCGGCACAGGUGAAGAACAAUAAGGUUAAUUAAUCAGGGAUUUAUUGCACCAACUGCGAGCGCGCGCCAUGCCACACAAAUUAAACACACCCACACAGGUGUGCUGCUGGAUCAAGCUAACGUGUUAGCUAACUGCUAACUUCCUUCUCCAGGUGUGUGUGACUAAUAAUCUCUGAGGUGACUCAUUCAGGAUUUGUGGUUUGCAGUGGGGACGAGACAGUGAGUAGACUGGUUACACUGGGACCAGAGAGGCUGUGCGGACUGGUUACACUGGGACCAGAGAGCCCUGAGAAUGAGCCAUCAGAGAAGCUGAACCUGGAUCAGACUGAGGACUGAGACUCGCAGGAUGACGUCAGACAGCACAGCUCAAAGACUGUGACAAAGAUGGCAGACCAGACAAACAAACAGGUUUCCAUGAAUCGGGGUUGCAUCUGCUGGUGUGGUCCUAACUGAUGCCUGCUGCUAUUACUAUUAAUCAUAUUUAUACUAUUUACUAUACACAAUUGUUAUUAUCACACACAUAUUAUCUUAUAUUAAUAUGUACAAAUAACAAAUAUACCAUCACAUAGUGCUACUAUUAUUUUCCAUGUUUUUAUUAUUACUGUUAUUGUUGCUGUGCAUCUCACUCUGUCUCCCUCUCAGUAUUUGGUCAUAUGGAAUGUCUAUGUUGUAAUUUUAUUAUGUUAACCGUUUGGUAAAUUUGACAUCUAUUGAAUAUCUGUCCGAUCUGUCCUAAUCUUCUGUGAGGAUCCAAGGAUGAAGGCUCUUGUACACUGUAAAUCCCUUUGUAGCAAGUUGUGAUGUUUGAUGUUUGGCUUUGCAAAUAAAAUUAAUUAAACUGAACUAUGACUGUUAUUAUUCAUGUUUUUUGACAAUGCUGACAUACUAUACUAUGACUGUUUUCAUAAUAUAUGACGACAUACUACGACUUUUUUUUUCAUGGUUUUUGACGACAUACUGUACUAUGACUUUUUUCAUAGUUUUUGAUGACAUCCUAUGGUUUGAUUUUUUUGCUUUAUCAUAUAUGAUGACAUACUAUACUA